rnacentral:rRNA from 2 species
UAACACAUGCAAGUCGAGGGGUAGAAUAGCAAUAUUUGAGACCGGCGCACGGGUGCGUAACGCGUAUGCAAUCUACCUUUUACAGAGGGAUAGCCCAGAGAAAUUUGGAUUAAUACCUCAUAGUAUAGUGAGUUGGCAUCAACACACUAUUAAAGUCACAACGGUAAAAGAUGAGCAUGCGUCCCAUUAGCUAGUUGGUAAGGUAACGGCUUACCAAGGCAACGAUGGGUAGGGGUCCUGAGAGGGAGAUCCCCCACACUGGUACUGAGACACGGACCAGACUCCUACGGGAGGCAGCAGUGAGGAAUAUUGGUCAAUGGGCGCAAGCCUGAACCAGCCAUGCCGCGUGCAGGAUGACGGUCCUAUGGAUUGUAAACUGCUUUUGCACAGGAAGAAACACUCGGUCGUGACCGAGCUUGACGGUACUGUGAGAAUAAGGAUCGGCUAACUCCGUGCCAGCAGCCG